UUUACAGUUCUGUUUCAGAGUGAGUGAGUCUAGGGCUAGGCUAUACAUCCCAUGGUUUACAGUUCUGUUUCAGAGUGAGUGAGUCUAGGGCUAGGUUAUACAUCCCAUGGUUUACAGUUCUGUUUCAGAGUGAGUCAGUCUAGGGCUAGGCUAUACAUCCCAUGGUUUACAGUUCUGUUUCAGAGUGAGUCAGUCUAGGGCUAGGCUAUACAUCCCAUGGUUUACAGUUCUGUUUCAGAGUGAGUCAGUCUAGGGCUAGGCUAUACAUCCCAUGGUUUACAGUUCUGUUUCAGAGU
rnacentral:lncRNA from 1 species